AUGGUUGAAGCAGAACAAAGCCGAGUUCUAUUUAUUUGGCAGACGUGGAGGCAGAGGAGGUGGGGCUCGCGUGAGAUCUCCUUCAACCCUAGGAGCUCAAGAAGGCGCACUGAAAAAGACGAGCACAACAAAGAAGAGCAGAAAGACUACAAGAGGAGAAGCGUGCAGGUCCUGGGGUUGAAGCAGAACAAAAUUGAGUUCUAUUUAUUCGGUGGACGUGGAGGCAGAGGAGGUGGGGCUCACGUGAUAGGAGGUGGGGCUCGCAUGAGAUCUCCUUCAAACCUGGGAUCUCAAGAAGGUGCACUAAAGAAGACGAGCACAACGAAGAAGAGCAGAAAGACAACAAGAGGAGAAGCAUGCAGUCCUUGGGGUUGA
rnacentral:rRNA from 1 species